rnacentral:rRNA from 1 species
GUUCGGAUUGCAGGCUGCAACUCGCCUGCAUGAAGCUGGAAUUGCUAGUAAUCGCGGAUCAGCAAGCCGCGGUGAAUACGUUCCCGGGCCUUGUACACACCGCCCGUCACACCAUGAGAGUCGGGAACACCCGAAGUCCGUAGUCUAACCGCAAGGGGGCGCGGCCGAAGGUGGGUCCGGUAAUUGGGGUGAAGUCGUAACAAGGUACC